GAAGAACCCUCAUCCUGGGAGACUGGAGAGUAGAAAAAAGAGGAGUGCAGAGAUGGAAUGAGAACCUGGCUUGACAGCAGCCUGUGUCUGCAGAGCCUAAUGGAGCCAGCUGUGGAGCGGGAACAGGCCAGCAGUGUGACACCGCGGCCCUUCUCCCACUUCGAAUGCCACCUUGAUGGUCAAAGCAUUGCAGAGGAACCCAUGAAAGUGGUUGUCUGACCGGAACAGAGAAGAACCUAUAAGGACAGAGCCUAGUUCAGAGAGCUGUCCAAUAAGGCCUGAGCUUCAGGGAGCUGCUUGGAGCACGGUCCAGGCGUACCUCCAACAAAAUACCUGGAAAAACCAGAAGCAAGGGGCAUAAUUCUCAACUGACCAGGGAGCCUCCAAGAGAAGGAUUUGUCUGGGCUAGGAGCAGAAGGAAUGGUGGACCAAGGAAAUGAAGAAGGGCAGAGGAGCCCAGAAAAGCUGAUUGUCAUAUUAAUUUGUUUCAGUCAUGUUCGAAUUCUGAUCAGCUGGCUGACUGCCCUGUGUUGUGCUGAGGACCUGGAGCACACAUGAGUGCCUGGACUACAGUGACCAGGAAAACUCCAAGGAAAAUCUCUGGGAGAGAAGCCCCCAUGCCCUGUGAUGGGAACUCAAGCUAAGUGAAAGCGGGAUGUGAAGGUGCUUUGUAGGCUGUAGAGUGUAAGAGAUUCCCUUCCUUCCUCCUUUUCUCCCCUCUUUCCUCCU